rfam:Marinobacter algicola DG893 1103407001880, whole genome shotgun sequence.
CGCGUCUUGACGGGGUGCUGGCGUCAGAACAUCUGACCGCCGGCUGAGAUUGCCAGGCAGAACCCGCAACCUGAUCCGGAUAAUACCGGCGUAGGGAUUUGAGACAAUAUGCUGC